rnacentral:rRNA from 1 species
GGUGAGUAACGCGUGAGGAUCUGUCCUAUACAGGGGGACAACAGAUGGAAACGUCUGCUAAUACCGCAUAAGCCUAAGGGUAAAAGGAGAGAUUCGGUAUAGGAGGAACUCGCGUCCUAUCAGCUAGUAGGUGAGGUAACGGCUCACCUAGGCGAAGACGGGUAGCCGGCCUGAGAGGGCGAACGGACACACUGGAACUGAGAUACGGUCCAGACUCCUACGGGAGGCAGCAGUGGGGAAUAUUGGGCAAUGGGGGAAACCCUGACCCAGCGACGUCGCGUGAGUGAAGAAAUCCCUCGGGAUGUAAAGCUCUGUUGUACGGNNNGAGAAGCAGACGGUACCGUACGAGGAAGGCCCGGCAAACUACGUGCCAGCAGCCGCGGUAAUACGUAGGGGGCAAGCGUUGUCCGGAAUUACUGGGCGUAAAGCGCACGCAGGCGGCCCAUCAAGUCGGUUGUAAAAGGNCNAGUGGCUCAACUACUGUAAGACGGCCGAUACUG